GAAGUGCGUCAGGGGCGGCUCGCCCCCGCGCGCUGCCCUCCAGGUCCCGCCGCCGACCGCCCCUGGCGGCCCAGGGCGGCCGGUGCCGAGUUCUGCGUCGCCUCGAAGUUAGUCGGGCGUGUCGAGCCCGCCAGGCCAGGCCAUUCGCUCCGCAUUGCCUCCCCAGCGGUACUCGGGCCUCCACUCGCUUCGCUGGCGUUAGCACAUUCUAUUUUGACCACACCCGGAAGACUUGGGAAGUGUUCCUCAUCCUUAGAGCUGUCUCUUCAAAACCACCUGAAUUAACAACCUAAAAAUGCUUUUGAUGCUGUGGAACUUGCCCACAAUAAAAACAAACUGAGUGUGCCCAUGUACAAUUAUGCAUGCCACAUUUGUGCACAACAUCACCAUUCUCAAAACCCAAACCCACAGAUCUGAGGCCAGCAACUCUAGUUAACCCUCACACAGGACUUCCCGCAUGCUAGGCACUGUGGGAAGCUCUUUAAGUGUAUCAACUCAUUUAAUCCUUCAACAGCCUUACAAGAAAGAAAGAAAAGAAAUCCAGAUAGACUCAGGAAAAGACCUCACUGAAGUCUGACUUCAGCACUACGAGUUCUCAGAUAUCAACCAAGUACUUAAUAAUGUGGGGAGGCUGUUGUUUUGACUUUGGUGGUGGGGAAAGAGCAUUUUGGAGGAGAAUGAUGUGAAUUAGGCUUUGAAGACCAGAAUUGUUCAGCUGCCUAGAAAAGGAACAAGAAGAAACAGAUGGUUGGCUUAACCAGGUCUGGAGAUUGACACGACAGUUGUGAACCAAGAUGAGUGAAAUAAGUCAUUAGGUUGCAGGUCCGGCGAGCACAGUGGGAAGAACUGUCCCUGAGAUUCCUCAGAGGCAACUGUGCUGCCAAUCUUAUUACCAGGGACAUGGAGUCCUCAGAGGAAAGUGGGACUCUCAUCUGCAUUAGAAGUAAGUUUCCAGGAGAGCCCUGGAAUUUGAAAAUUCCUUGAGGCUCCAGUGUUUAAUUGAGAUAAAUGAGGCCUCCCGGGGCAGUCUGGAUUCAGACAUCCUACUUCUGUGCUGCUUUCUCCCUGACUCCCUCCUUGGCUGGUGGGAAAAAGAAAAACUCCUCCUUCUAAGGAAGAAGUACCUGAAAAUUGUAAAAAACAAACAAACAAACGAAAACCCAUCUUACCCUUUCACCAGACCAAAUGUCUAGCAAAUGAGAAUAGGAUUCAGGAAAACAGAGGAACAAAUCUCUCCAUCUGAUAUUUUGUGUAUUUGAAAAGUGUGAGAUAUUUGAACUUUGUCGCAGGCUCUUACAAAU